CUUGUUAAUCUUACAACUGGAAGUUUGUACCCUUUGACCAAUCUCUCUCCUCGUUUCCCCCACCCCCAAGUCCUUGCUCUUGAUCUUUCUUAUUUGGUAUUUAUUCCUAGAUUCUUUUGUCUCAAUUUUAACUGAGAUGCUACUAUGUGUCAAUGUGCCAGGUGUUAUAGAUGUGGCGGUACACAAAAACAGAUAUAAUUUUUACCCUUAUCUAGCUUAUGGACUAGGCUUCCUCACCAUUUUGGGUUGAAAUUUUAAUAUUUUUAUUGUGUUUUUUAUUUUUAGAACUUGAAGAUAAUUUUCCUUGCUGGAGAAAAAUAAAUUCUAUUGUCUGUUAGCAAAUUGCUCUCUUCUGCAAGCAAUAGGGUCCUUCUCUUCCUGCCUUUUCUUUCCUCAUUGCUUACAAUAUGAUGGAAAAGUACUUUAUAUCAUCCUAAGUAUUUUUCACAAGUUUCAGCUCAUUUUUAAUGUAACGUUUUUGACACUGAUUUAAAACAUAUUGUAUAUACAGGUGUGCAUGCUUUUAAACUUUAGAGUGUAUCAUAUGUGUUUUUUUCAUUUAAUUAAAUAUAUUCUGAAAACAUGAUAUUUAAUGUCUGUUUAAUAGUCCAUCUUAUUUAACCAUCCCCUAUUUUGGGCUAUUUGGUUUGAGUCCAAUUUUUUUUUUUCGCUUGUUCUUCAAUUUUAAAUAGUGCUUCUGUGAACAUCCUGGUACAUAAUUCUUUGACUGCGUUUCUAAUUAUUUCCUUAUGCUGUGCUCCAGCCUCCCAAUACUGUCCAUUUCUUGUGCCCAGGGACUAAGUAGACUGGCUGUUUUUCCUAUCCAUGUCCAGUGAAUGCAUUUUUCACUCAGUGAUCUUCAGAACUUUUUUGAUGACUGACCAGAUGGAGUGUUGCUCAUCUGUGCCUCAAGAUCUUCCACAGUCCCCUCCAACUUUCACUCUUGCAGCAGUCUGGGACAUCUGCAAGGCCAGGAGAAGAAAGGUUGCCUGCCACAGCAUGGUUUGAUAAAUGGUGCACAAGUCCAUGCCCCAGAUCCGAACUGGUGAACCCUGGGCCCCUGAAGCAGAGCACGAGAACUUAACCACUGCACCAGUGGGCCGGCCCCUGGGAUGUCUUCUUACAGUAAACCUAGCCACAAAAAGCCAGGUGCUACUGUGGUCCUAAUUAUGUGCUAUCCAUGAAAGGCACAAUGUAAGGACCUAAAUUUUGAGAAAAAAUUCUAAAGAUUUCCUGAGGCCUUUGCAGAGAAUGAGAUCUACAACCAUCAGAAAUGGGCUGGUGCAUUUUGGAGAUUUACAGCAUGGUAGCGAACCGCUGAAGCUCUGCAUGUUGACAGGCGAGAUUUGACUAGGAGCUCUAGCAUUUAUCAGCUCAGUGGCCUCAGGAGCAGGAUCUCUGACCUCCAGGCUGGAGCCUUCCUGGCCAUCUUCAAGUCUAACUUUAAGUGCUGACAGAAUUAUAUAGUACUUGCCAAAGCUAUGUGAAUUUAUGGACUAACAAGUCAUUUGUCACAAACCGGAGGUAAGUGAGAUCCUGAGUUGGGGGAAGGCAGGAGCCCUUGCUCCUGUGACCCAUGACCCGGACGCUGGUUGGACUAAUUCCAGUCAUGCAUACUGGGUAGUUUCUGUAGUCAGCCUGGACCUUCUGCUCAGUUCCAAUGGGCAGCCUUAUCCUUUUGGGGGAUAAAACCAUUUGGUAAUUUCUCCGUGAUAAGCUUAGCAUUUUAUGGUGAGGAAAGUACCAAGUUUUCUUAUCACUUUCUUAUUAUACACUGUUUUUUUUAGAAUGUUAUAUUAUAUACUCCGUUUCUUUUAGGAUUAUUUCUCUCGUUCCCAGAGACCCUGUCUUACCUUGAGAUAUUUAGUUCAUUUUUGGAAAGUCAGAAAGUACUUCUGAGGAAUGAUUUUAUUAGAAGGGCUAACCAUUUGAUCCAACCUCUAAAGAAUGUGGCAGCAAAAGAUGUUUCUUGUAGGAAGAAGGACACUAUAUAAACGAACCCAUCCACAUUAGGUGAAACAUUUCACAACAUUACUUUUCAAAUAACAAACAGCUAAUUGUCGGCAAAUUUCUAUGUCAAAUGUAUAAACAAUUAGCCAAAUAUUGGAGUCUUGGAGAGUGAAAGAAAUUACUUGGAUCAGAAAGAGUUCAGGCUGGGAACAUGUAAGAAUUUUAAUGACAGUCACCCUCACAACAGUUGGGGGAAUACUUGCUGCUAUUGCCAGGUGCUGUUGCUCUUCAUCCAAGCAGAACAGUAUGGUGUUUAAGUGGGUGGACUCAAGACGCAGGUCGUCUGGAUUUGGAUCCUAGCUGUGUCACCUGAAAGCCAUGUGCCCUUGGAUAAGUUAUUUAGCCUCCCUGUAACUCAGUUUCCCCUCCCUGUGACUGAGUCACAAUAAGGAGUAGUAAUAUUACCUACCUCAGAAGAAUGUCAUAAAGAUUAAAUUAGUUGUUAUAAAGUACUUAGGACUAACUCGCACACAAAAUAAGUGAGUGUAAAUGUCUGUUAGGUUAAUACCAUGCUAUCAAUCUAUUUACAAUGUUAAUGAGUCUGCUGUGUUCAAAGAUACUGUACUACAGGAUGGUCCCUGCCUAUAAGGGAUGUUUAGUGAGGGAAAACUGAUGCCAUUCAGUAUGGAAAAGUGGAAGCUGGAUAUAUGCUUUCAAAAAUAAUGAUGUAAAAUUCUAAACUUGAAUUGAUUUUAUUUUAGCUAGAAAAUAUUAAAGUGGUUACUUUUUAUUGUUGACUCCCUAAGGGCAGAGACCGCCCAUAAUAUAUAUAUAUACAAUAUGUAUAAAUACUUCACAAGGCAUAGCAGAGGGGGAGACACAAGGGUAAGGGCUAAUCAAAGUAAAUUAAAAUUUACUCAUAUAGAUAAGAAGCUACUUUAUAUUACCUUAUAAUUAGGGUAAAUGCAGCCCUUUUAACACAGACCUGACCCUCGCAUCUCAAAUAUCUCCAUUUGCUGAACUGCUCAUGUCAGACCGCCAUGAUCAUUCAUGUUACAGAGAACUUGUUACAAACGAAAACCAAAAUGCUAUAUUUACACUGUCUAGAAUUAGAAUAAAAUUAAACAAUUUAUACGUGAGUCAUAUUUAAACAAUCUAUAUUUAUAAAAUAAUAUCUUAGGAAUUACAAUUCUACCAAAAUUCAAUAUAAGCAACUGCAUAUUCACUUAACUAGCAGCAAUAACACGAAAAGAGAAAAAUUUCAAGAUAAUUUUAAAAGAGAGACAAAAUAAACUUAAAAUGGAAGCAAUUUAUUCUUAAGACUCACACUUAAUAGUCUACAUUUGUAAAAUAUUACCUGAAUUUUAAUUCUAUCAAGCUUCCAUUUGAGUAAUGGUAUGAUCACUUAACAGCAAUGAAGCUAAAAGAUAGAAAAUGCAAAAUUUCUUUAGAAAAGAAGCCAAAGAAUUUUGCUGUGGUUCAGGCUCUUCAGAGGUAGGUUCAUUGGAGGGCUGAAUUCUUCUGCUUUCAGGAUAUGAGGAGAGGGGAAAUACCCAGUGCUUGGUGUAGAGACAUUUCUCCUUGCUAACAGAAGAUGUGUUAGGCCGGGGGCAUCUCUCGAUGAUGAGUAUUCUUUGGGACGUCCAUACUUGUCAUACACGAACUGCCCCUGGAACUCUGCUUCAACAUCUGACUGGAGGAUAUGGUAGAGGAAGAAAGGCUGAACCUGAAUCAGGUGUACAUAGGUGGCCAAGAUCAUUUUGAGUGUCAUUUCUCCUCGAUUCCAUCUUUGAAAUGCACAAAUCCUAACAGAAGAAGACAGUAAAUUUUUAAGUUCUGAUGGUCCAGAGAAAGUUUUCCAAGUUAGACAGUAUAGGAUAAAUUGCAUAUGGCUCUUGUUCAGAAAUUAUUGGAAAAGUAUAAUGAUGAUGGAGGGAACACACUAUGAUUUUGAUGCCAUAGAAGUGACAUUUGGUCCACAGAGGAUACAUUCAGACACUCGAUCCCUCAGCCAUCACAGCUUGAUGGUGACCUGAUAAUCCAGAAGAUGCUUUGGGGGUCCUCUCAGACCUUUGACAUAUGCCUCACUUUAAACAUUGGGGCAUAAAGAGGUCCUUUCCACUUAAAAGAUUAAAUGAAUCUCUGCCUCAUUGAGUUUUCCCUUCUGUCAUAUGUAUUUUCUUUUAAAUUCGUUGAGUUUUCUCUCAGCCAAUAGAAUUUUCUACCAGUUAUUAUGAGCUUUAUUUCUCCUGGGACAUCCUUUGGCUUUAAUAAGAACACAUGCUUCUUCCUGCUUUUCCUGCAAGAAGUUUUGCUUGUAGGUGUGCAGCUGUUCACAAUUAUGGCUGAUUGUUUCAUCUGCUUUGGACAGUUUCUCCUCCAUCAAGUGGUAAAUUCUCUAUUAAAUGAAUAUUCCAGCAUAUUUUACUUCAUUUUCUCAAUGAAGGUCAGAAGGGACUGAGUCUUUGGUGAAGAUUUCAAAUAUCGCGUUCAACACACUGCAUUUUCUGUCUUCAGUGAAGUCAGUUUUAAAAUUUUUAAAUUCUCAGUUUAGAAAAUUUUAUUAUGAUCUGUAAAUCCCUUGUGUAGAAUAGAAAUGUGCUUGAGAAGGUGAAAACUUUGCAAGAAAAUAAUUUUAGUAAAUGCCGAUUUUUCAAAGAGAAACUUUGGAAUUUGUGGAGCCUUUCUAAAUCAGCUUUUUUUUUCCCCCAUGAAGACCUUUUACAUAAAUAUUGCUGAACAUUCUUUCUUAAAUGUAAACAGGGCUUGGAUCAUUUUUUUCAAUGUCUGCUGGUAUAAACAUUGUCCAUGGUUAUUAAAAUAUUUUUAGCAUCACAAUGCAACUUAAGUAUGUGACUUUAUCCUCCUGGCUUUGGCACCUGCAGGAAAUACGUGAGUUUCCUUUUCGGUAUGUGUAAUAUGAAAUAUACCUGCCAUUGCACGACAGGCAGAAAGUCACCAACUUAAGUCCAUAGUUCUUUCUUCCUACUUUGCAAAGCAAUUGAUCAUUAGGGAAUUAAUCUCAAAUGAUUUAAGUUUAUAUGCCUUUGUGAAAUAGUUCUGUGUGUGAGUGAGUGUAUUUGAGGAAGGCCUUUAAUGUCUUUGUUAUUGAUCUUACUGUCCAUUGAUCUGCUUAUUCACAUAGUGGCGGUCUUAUUAUCUAUUGCUACAUCUGCUGUGAAAACCCAAAUAGUAUUGCUUAUCAGAGCCUGGAAUUGCCAUGAGAGUAACUUCUUGUUUCUCUUCAAAUAUGAUGAAAGAUGGCAACAAUAAAAUAGUCUUGUAAAAUGAUCUUUUAUUCUACUGUAUUUCAUUAUGGGAAAGAAAAAUUUUAAAGGCAUUUUUCAAAAGCCUAUAUUUCACCUAAAUAAAUCCUUCUAUUCAAAGAUAUGUGUAUACAGCAUAUGUAUUUAUGUAUAAGCAGAAUUUUUGUUUAUGUCUGUGUAUACAAUAUCCUUACCUCUUUUCAUUAUAGGAUAGAAUGCAAAGCUAGGCAGUCCUCUCAAAGGGGAUUAUCUUUUAACAUAUUUGAGUCAAUUUUAAGAAAAUCAACCACAAAACUUGAUUAAAUUACCAACUUUAUUUGAUUUUGUUUAUUUUUAAUGAAUUCUUUUGUGAUUUUUGUCUGGAUAAAAUUCAGGCUAUACAUUGUACCUUUUGGAACACACCCAUCAACAAAUUGCAAACUUCUGUAACUUCCACCAUUUUGAAGUUAUCUUCUUUUGUUAAACUUUUUACAAAAUCACACACAAAAACAUCAAGAAAAUAUCAUCUAACAUGCACUCCAUGUAACUUUUGCACUUAUGUUUGUUAAUGCUAAUAGAUCUGGGGACAAAUAGAUUCCCUGUAUAAACCUAGAUAUUUUUAUUAAAAACUUGUGUUUCUGUAAGCUUGAGGUCUUAUCUGCUUACUCACCACUCUGUUCCCAGACUCUGGAAUAAUGCAGACGAAUAGAAGAAGAAUAAAUACUAGGCUUUCAUAAAAUCACACGAAUGGGUGGACUUUUGAGUUGUCAUUGUAUGUCAACAUCAUACACAUCUAUUGUUGAACAGUAUUUUAUGCUUACCAUGUGCCUUUGUGUACAAGACAGUCCUUAUAAAAAACAUAUGAGAUACGAAAAUAAAGAUGCUCAGAAUGUGUCUAUUUUACUGGUGAGAAAGUUAACAGAUGGCACAAUGAGGCCAGAACUUCUGAGCCGUGAUUCACCACACUCUUCAUUCUACUGCCUCUCAACAGAUAUCUGCUCCAGCCAAUAAUCAUGAGGACCGUAACAGCUAUAUUUCCAGGGAGAUGUGUUGUUGGCAUUUGGUUUAUGGUAUAUUCCAAAAUAUAGUCAUCCUCAAUGAUCGAUAAUUUACUUUAUAAUUUAACCAAAUUAUUUGACUGAAAUUUAAGUCCAUUUCUCCAUAAGAGGACUCAGGCAUUAUGACAGAAAGUGAGUUAUAUUUUUUAUGUAAUAAUCUUUUAUAUAUUUGAAAGAUUUACAAGUAAUUUCUGAGCCUUUUCUAACUUCUGUAGUAUUUUUUUAUAGGACUUUCAUUCCUUUCUUGUAGUAAUUUUUAUUCCAUUCAAUUAGCUAUCUUUUGUCUCUCUGCUCUACCUUCAGUAUGUUAUCUCCAAUUCACUUUAUAUACUUCUUUCAAACUUCAUUUAGUGCUAUUUCAUAUUCACAAUUUUAAUUAACUUUCUAUAGCAUGUAGAAAUACAUGCUUAGCCUAGUGCUCAAAACCUUAAAUGAGCUAAUCCAACCUACCAUUGCAACCUUAUUUUUCUCUAUUCUUGUUGAUGACUUUCAUAUAACUGAGCUUCGGCCUGAAGCAGCAUGGACUUAUGAAAUUGUGGUUUUAUCAUUUAAGAUGUUGACUAUUGAGUAAGCAUCCUCAAAGAUCAGUGGCACCUCAUCAUUUUUUAUUUCAUUGAGGCCUGUAUUUGUACUGUGAGAGUUAUAAGCUAGCGUGAAUGUGAAAACAGCACCCAAAACAAAACGCUAUUUUGUAUCCAUUCUACCCGAGUAUAGUGUGGGGCUUGCAAACUUUUGGUCCCAGUACUCCUUUACACCCUUAAAAGUUGUUGAGGCUCCCAAGGAGCAUAUAUUUAAGUGGAUUAUAUCUGUAGAUACUUACUGUAGAAGAAAUUAAAACUGAGGUCUUUAAAACUAUUAAUUCAUUUAAAUUAACAACAAACCUAUUAUAUGUUAACGUGAAUACAUACUUUCAUGAAAAAUAACCAUUUUUCUAAAACAAAAAAUAAUUAGUGAGGAGAGGGACGCUGUUGCACAUAUUUGCAAGUCUCUUUAAUGUUUUGCUUGGUAGAAGAUUGCUGGAUCCCCACAUCUAUCUGUACUCAGCCUUUUCCAUGUCAUUCAACAGGUAGCCUUUGGGAAACUCUACUGCACACUUAUGAAAGAAUGAGAGUGAAAAAGGCAAAUAACUCCUGGAUAUUUGAUGAAUGUUGUUUUGAUUUUAUAGUCUCCCUUAAAGCGUCUCAGACCCUCCCUGGACGGUCUUUGGAACCUAUCUUGAGAAACACUAGUGUAGUGAGCAAGAGCUUAGCUUUGAAGCCCCACUCCCUGUGUGUGUAGCGACACUUCACCUCCUAGCUUCGUGAUCCUGGGCAAGUUAUUAAACUUCUUGUGCCUCAGUGUGCUCCUCUCUAAAAUGGAAUUAAUAAUGAUAUCUAUCUCUUAGAGAUGUUUUGAGGAUUAAAUAAAUUAAUACUGAUUUGCAAUCACCACAGUGUCUAACGCUGGGAAUAGUCAGUUUUGUGAGUAAGGAAAAUGCAUUUUUCUCUACCUCCCUCUGUCCUUGGUUUUUUAAUGUCUUUUCUUAUCCAAAGUAAUAUUUAUUUUUUUAAAGAGAGAAAAGAAUGGAAUAUAUUUUAGUUUGAUCAAGGUUUUUGGCAGUGUUAAUCCUUCUAUAUUCAAGUACAGCUAAAUUAUCCAUAGGGAUUUCAAUCUGUACCUGAAAAAAAUAAAAGCGAGUUCCAGACUUUUUUAUUACCCGCUCAAGUUCUAUUCAUUCCUUUCGUAUUCACCAGUCUUCCUUUUCCUUCAGCAACCUAUCGGCUAAACUAGAUUAAGAGAACACAAGCAAGUCUAGGAUGAAUUCAUUCAUUCUUUCAUUCAUUCAUUCAUUCAUUUACCACAAACUUAUCGUGCCUAUGUCAGGCUUUCUGCUAAGCUCUGGUAUGCAGUCUUAUAAUCUAGCGGAAAAGGACAUACAUUAAACUAGCCAACAAGAAAAAUAAAUGUAUGAAUAAAAACUGUGAGAAGUGCUUGAAAUACUCUUUCUCGUUGCUUUUUAUGCUUUGGAUAUUAUUGGAUAACUAUUGUUAGUUAAGAUACAAUUGACAUAUAUGAGUUAUAGGUGGACAACAUAAUGAUUCAAUAUAUGUACAUAUUGCCAAAUGAUCAC